rnacentral:rRNA from 1 species
UACAGAGGUCUCAAGCGUUGUUCGGAUUCAUUGGGCGUAAAGGGUGCGUAGGCGGCGAGGUAAGUCGGAUGUGAAAUCCCGGGGGCUCAACCCUGGAACUGCAUUCGAUACUGCCUUGCUCGAGGACUCGAGAGGAGAUUGGAAUUCACGGUGUAGCAGUGAAAUGCGUAGAUAUCGUGAGGAAGACCAGUGGCGAAGGCGGAUCUCUGGACAGUUCCUGACGCUGAGGCACGAAGGCCAGGGGAGCAAACGGGG